rnacentral:tRNA from 3 species
CGGGAUGUAGCGCAGCCCGGUAGCGCGCGUCGUUCGGGACGACGAGGCCGCAGGUUCGAAUCCUGUCAUCCCGA